rnacentral:rRNA from 1 species
CAUAGCCGCGGUAAAACGGAGGGGGCUAGCGUUGUUCGGAAUUACUGGGCGUAAAGCGCACGUAGGCGGCUUUGUAAGUUAGAGGUGAAAGCCCGGAGCUCAACUCCGGAAUUGCCUUUAAGACUGCAGAGCUAGCAGGUGAGAGAGGUGAGUGGAAUUCCGAGUGUAGAGGUGAAAUUCGUAGAUAUCGGAAGGAACACCUGUGGCGAAAGCGGCUCACUGGACAAUAACUGACGCUGAUGCACGAAAGCUAGGGGAGCAAACAGGAUUAGAGACCCCCGUAGUCCCUGUCUCUUAUACA